rnacentral:rRNA from 1 species
UGGGGAAUAUUAGGCAAUGGGCGAAAGCCUGACCUAGCGACGCCGCGUGAGGGAAGACGGUCUUCGGAUUGUAAACCUCUGUCUUUGGGGACGAAGAAGAUGACGGUACCCAAAGAGGAAGCCACGGCUAACUACGUGCCAGCAGCCGCGGUAAUACGUAGGUGGCGAGCGUUGUCCGGAAUUACUGGGUGUAAAGGGAGCGUAGGCGGGAACGCAAGUUGAAUGUGAAAACUAUGGGCUCAACCGAUAGUUGCGUUCAAAACUGCGAAUCUUGAGUGAAGUAGAGGCAGGCGGAAUUCCUAG